AUUGAACGCUGGCGGCAGGCCUAACACAUGCAAGUCGAGCGAGCGGCGGACGGGUGAGUAAUGUCUGGGAAACUGCCUGAUGGAGGGGGAUAACUACUGGAAACGGUAGCUAAUACCGCAUACUAUCAGAUGAGCCCAUCUGGGAUUAGCUAGUAGGUGGGGUAAUGGCUCACCUGGGCGACGAUCCCUAGCUGGUCUGAGAGGAUGAUCAGCAACACUGGGACUGAGACACGGCCCAGACUCCGACGGGAGGCAGCAGUGGGGAAUAUUGCACAAUGGGCGCAAGCCUGAUGCAGCCAUGCCGCGUGUAUGAAGAAGGCCUUCGGGUUGUAAAGCACUUUCAGCGGGGAGGCGUUACCCGCAGAAGAAGCACCGGCUAACUCCGUGCCAGCAGCCGCGGUAAUAC
rnacentral:rRNA from 1 species